AAGAACUUAGGAUAUUUAAACCAAAAGCCUUCAAAGCUUUUAAAAAGGGUAUAAAUCCCUUAGUUUUUG
rnacentral:tRNA from 1 species